UACGUAGGGGGCAAGCGUUGUCCGGAUUUAUUGGGCGUAAAGAGCGUGUAGGCCGCCGUACAGGUCAGCUGUGAAAACUCGAGGCUCAACCUCGAGACGUCGGUUGAAACCGUACGGCUAGAGUCCGGAAGAGGAGAGUGGAAUUCCCGGUGUAGCGGUGAAAUGCGCAGAUAUCGGGAAGAACACCCGUGGCGAAGGCGGCUCUCUGGGACGGUACUGACGCUGAGACGCGAAAGCGUGGGGAGCGAACAGG
rnacentral:rRNA from 1 species